CCAAGGAGUCUAACAUGUGCGCGAGUCACUCGGUCUUGAAUAGGCCAGAGAGGCGCAAUGAAAGUAAAGUUGAUUGAGUUACGAUCCUCAUGCGGUUAUCCAUUAGGGUAACGGUGAGGCGCAGUAACAGCCCGCCAAUUUCGCUUAUUGACGAUCUGGCGGAGUUGUAGCGUACACGUUGGUACCCGAAAGAUGGUGAACUAUGCCUGGGCAAGACGAAGCCAGAGGAAACUCUGGUGGAGGUCUGUAGCGAUUCUGACGUGCAAAUCGAUCGUCAGACCUGGGUAUAGGGGCGAAAGACUAAUCGAACCAUC
rnacentral:rRNA from 2 species